GGACUGAACAUCAUGGGGCAUCAAAGCAGCAGGCAAAGCUGCAAUCUUGUUCUUGGUAGGCAAAGAAGGAAAAGAAUUCAGAGACUUCUUGGAAGAAACUUUGUGAAACACAUUGAAGAAAGAAGCACCAGCAAAAAGGAAACAGAAGCAGGCAACAGGAAUGGAAAAAACAGUGUUGAUAGCUAUGAAGGUGGUUCCCGGACUGUCUUCUGCAUCCAUAUACUUUAUGUCCAUGGUCACUGCCAAGACUAUAAAUCCCCCAGUGCCUGCAGCUUGGAGGCCCAUGACUAUCCAGAAAAUAGUUGAAUCAAAUAGCCUGUCUAUACAAUUAGCAUCCAU
rnacentral:misc_RNA from 1 species